CACUGGUUAGCUCAGCUGGUUAGAGCUUGGUGCUAACAACACCAAGGUCAUGGGUUUGAUUCCCGUAUGGGUGC